GGGGGUUUAGCUCAGUGGUAGAGCGUCCGCUUUGCACGGCACACGACUGUUGCCAGCGUGCGGAAGGCCGAGGUUUCGAUCACCUCAUCCUCCA
rnacentral:tRNA from 1 species